CCCCCCGGAGUCGCCUUCUCCUGCCAGUCACCGUCCUGGGGGAGUAGAACGAAAGCACAGGGCAUUGGGGGCAACUGCUACAACGUGCCUGAUUACCUGGUGCAGCCGGCCCCGCCCGUGUCACUCCGGUCCAGGCCACAUUUUCGUUAAGCCUGCCCCCCCCACCCCCCCAACACUACCUUCCCCAGAGCUGGGGGUCCUAGCCUUGGGUUUCUCCCUUCUCAAUUUCCUCUUUGUUUUCCUCUUCCUCCAACUCAGCUGUGGGCUUUCCUUUACGCUGAGAAGUCGGUCCAGUCGCUCCGCACCGUUGGGCCUCCCCCCAGAACCCCCCACCUCAGCUGCAACAGGCACCUGGACACACCAUCCUAGUGCUUAAUCUUCUUAAAAAAAAAAAAAAAAAAAAAAAGGUUUUAUUUACUUAUUAGAGAAAGAGCAAGAGCCGCGGAAGGGGCAGAGAGAGAAGUAGACUCCCCGCCGAGCAGGGAGCCAGAAUGUGGGGCUCCAGCCCAGGACUCGGGGAUCUUGACCUGGGCCCACCUCAGACGUUUAACCCACCGAACCACCCAGGCGCCCCCUAGCCUAGUGGUGGUAAGAAUUCUUGAUUGGCUUGUCUGUCAAAUUUGUCAAAGAACUCCCAGAACCAGCUCCCCACAUGCCUUCCCGUCUGUCCCCUUUCAGAGAGAAGCACGACUUGCUCCUGCCCAGCUGUGGGAGGGAAGGGAACUCUGAAGCUCUUCCAGUGAACAGGAUAUCCUGCUGUCCUAAUAAACACCAACCUGUCAGUUGUGAAACAGAGGGGAAAUUGCCAUAUUGUUGCUGUCAUCUCCAUCAUCCUCAAGCCAGGAUCCCCAAACUACUCAAGACAUCUGAACUAUACUAAGCAGAACUCCUCCGAAACAUCCCAGCCUUCGAGUGGUACAGAAAACGUGGACUGGUGUGCAGUGCAGGAAGGCACAGCUCCUGCUCCGUCCGGGGUCCUGGGGAAUGCUUGCUGCCAAUUCCAGGGUCUGGAAAACUCUCUGUCCUUGGGGAAGGAUGGUGUGGUCUUUGUUGCGGAGGCCCUCUGUGGCCAAGAAGGUGGUUCCCCGUUCCUGCUCUGUGUCUCCAUCAGCCUCCUGCCCCUUCCUAUCACACCUGCCUAUCCUUUUUUUUUUUUUUUUUAAAGAUUUUAUUUAUUUAUUCAUG
rnacentral:lncRNA from 1 species